rnacentral:rRNA from 1 species
AGCAGCCGCGGUAAUUCCAGCUCCAAUAGCGUAUAUUAAAGUUGCUGCAGUUAAAAAGCUCGUAGUUGAAUUUCGGGGUCAAUAUGUUGGUCGUGCCUUGGUACGUACUAGCUUAUUGAUUUCUCCUUUCUGACGAACCAUGAUGUCAUUAAUUUGGUGUCAUGGGGAAUCAGGACUGUUACUUUGAAAAAAUUAGAGUGUUUAAAGCAGGCUCGCGCUUGAAUACAUUAGCAUGGAAUAAUGAAAUAGGACAUUUGAUUCUAUUUUGUUGGUUUCUAGGAUCGAUGUAAUGAUUAAUAGGGAUAGUUGGGGGCAUUAGUAUUCAAUUGUCAGAGGUGAAAUUCUUGGAUUUAUUGAAGACUAACUACUGCGAAAGCAUUUGCCAAGGAUGUUUUCAUUAAUCAAAAACGAAAGUUAGGGGAUCGAAGACGAUCAGAUACCGUCGUAGUCUUAACCAUAAACUAUGCCGACUAGGGAUCGGAUGAUGUUAAUUUUUUAAUGACUCA